rnacentral:rRNA from 1 species
AGAGUUUGAUCCUGGCUCAGAACGAACGCUGGCGGCAGGCCUAACACAUGCAAGACGAGCGCGCUUUCGGGUGAGCGGCGGACGGGUUAGUAACGCGUGGGAACGUGCCCUUCUCUACGGAAUAGCCUCUGGAAACGGAGAGUAAUACCGUAUACGCCCUUUGGGGGAAAGAUUUAUCGGAGAAGGAUCGGCCCGCGUUAGAUUAGGUAGUUGGUGGGGUAAUGGCCUACCAAGCCUACGAUCUAUAGCUGGUUUUAGAGGAUGAUCAGCAACACUGGGACUGAGACACGGCCCAGACUCCUACGGGAGGCAGCAGUGGGGAAUCUUAGACAAUGGGGGCAACCCUGAUCUAGCCAUGCCGCGUGAGUGAUGAAGGCCUUAGGGUCGUAAAGCUCUUUCGCCUGUGAUGAUAAUGACAGUAGCAGGUAAAGAAACCCCGGCUAACUCCGUGCCAGCAGCCGCGGUAAUACGGAGGGGGUUAGCGUUGUUCGGAAUUACUGGGCGUAAAGCGCGCGUAGGCGGAUUAGAAAGUUGGGGGUGAAAUCCCGGGGCUCAACCUCGGAACUGCCUCCAAAACUGCUAGUCUAGAGUUCGAGAGAGGUGAGUGGAAUUCCGAGUGUAGAGGUGAAAUUCGUAGAUAUUCGGAGGAACACCAGUGGCGAAGGCGGCUCACUGGCUCGAUACUGACGCUGAGGUGCGAAAGUGUGGGGAGCAAACAGGAUUAGAUACCCUGGUAGUCCACACCGUAAACGGUGAAUGCCAGUCGUCGGGUAGUAUACUAUUCGGUGACACACCUAACGGAUUAGGCAUUCCGCCUGGGGAGUACGGUCGCAAGAUUAAAACUCAAAGGAAUUGACGG